UAUACAAAGAGAAGCGACCUCGCGAGAGCAAGCGGACCUCAUAAAGUAUGUCGUAGUCCGGAUUGGAGUCUGCAACUCGACUCCAUGAAGUCGGAAUCGCUAGUAAUCGUGGAUCAGAAUGCCACGGUGAAUACGUUCCCGGGCCUUGUACACACCGCCCGUCACACCAUGGGAGUGGGUUGCAAAAGAAGUAGGUAGCUUAACCUUCGGGAGGGCGCUUACCACUUUGUGAUUCAUGACUGGGGUGAAGUCGUAACAAGGUAACCGUAGGGGAACCUGCGGUUGGAUCACCUCCUUACCUUAAAGAAGC
rnacentral:rRNA from 2 species